GACGAACGCUGGCGGCGUGCUUAACACAUGCAAGUCGAACGGAAAGGCCCUGCUUUUGUGGGGUGCUCGAGUGGCGAACGGGUGAGUAACACGUGAGUAACCUGCCCUUGACUUUGGGAUAACUUCAGGAAACUGGGGCUAAUACCGGAUAGGAGCUCCUGCUGCAUGGUGGGGGUUGGAAAGUUUCGGCGGUUGGGGAUGGACUCGCGGCUUAUCAGCUUGUUGGUGGGGUAGUGGCUUACCAAGGCUUUGACGGGUAGCCGGCCUGAGAGGGUGACCGGCCACAUUGGGACUGAGAUACGGCCCAGACUCCUACGGGAGGCAGCAGUGGGGAAUAUUGCAAAAUGGGCGGAAGCCUGAUGCAGCAACGCCGCGUGCGGGAUGACGGCCUUCGGGUUGUAAACCGCUUUCGCCUGUGACGAAGCGUGAGUGACGGUAAUGGGGAAAGAAGCACCGGCUAACUACGU
rnacentral:rRNA from 1 species